rnacentral:tRNA from 2 species
UAGAUUGAAGCCCGCUGGUUUGGGUGUUUGGUUGUUAACUAAGUAUUCGCGGGAUCAAAGCCCGUCAGUCUAGU